rnacentral:tRNA from 1 species
GCCUCCGUGGCUUAGUGGCUAUAGCGGCUGAUAGACAAUCAGCAGGUCGCGAGUUCAACUCUCGCCGGAGGCU